AGAGAAAUUCGUGGGAACAUCCAUAAGCAACCCACAUGCAAUGUCUGGUUCAGGAAAUAUUUAAACUGAUCACUGCUGGAGCUGAGAGGUUAGACUGAUCCAUAAUUUUCUCCAACAGUACCAUAGGAGCAGUCUUUCUCCCUCCAUAAUCUGAUGGUCAAGAUCCUUAGUCUCACUGAAGGUACUUGCCAUGGUGUGAAACCUUCAUCAGAUAUAAAUGAAUCAGAAUUUGUUUAGCUGAACAAAAGAUUCUAAUGUUGAGCAACUGAGCAUCUCAAGAUUAAAUUAUAAUAUUGCU
rnacentral:lncRNA from 7 species